rnacentral:lncRNA from 1 species
AAAAUAUGUGGUUAAAAAUGAGCUGUAGAAAAAAGAGUAUUAAAAAACAAAUGUCAACUACACAGAAUCUUUGGAAGAGAUUGAUAGAUGUUAAAUUGGGAGGACCAAUAUUGGAAGUGGGGCUCAAGAGCAGAGUGGCUUAAAGAGGCUACAUGCAUCUUGUCGUUGACAGAAAAAUAAAAAUAAAUCGGGAACUUGAGUGGUCAAUGAGUUUGUUAAGGGAUAAAAUUCCACAUCCAACAAAAAUGAAAACAUUGACUAACUUAUAAAAGAUUGGAUUACUUCUCAUAAUAAGGUGACCUUUUAAAAUGAAACCACGAGUUUUAAUGGAGUUGAGAAGGAUGAGAUUGUCGUUAUCCCCACUGAUUUCCAACUCGAGCAGGGCGUAAGGGCCAUUACAAUGGGUCUGUCAGACAAGGAAAAAUUGCUCUGCGAACUUGGUGCUUAUCCCGAAGAAGAAACAUUCUACAGAAACUGCCCCAGUAGUCUAUGCACUGUUCUGUGUAAACUGGUUUCUAAAGUAAUUGUCAACCGAUUUAAUUCACUGGUUUCUGAAACAACUGAUAACAUUACAAGAAGCUAUAGCUCAAGUGGAGACACUGAUUCAAAGUGGCAACAUUAUUCUUCUGAAGCUACGAGCUCUCCUAUUAGCUGUUGCUUCGCAGGCAUCGCGCUGUCCACUCUUUCAAUCUGUUUAACAUUAGUACAUUAAAAUUGAUGUGAAAUUGACUUCUCAAGGACGAUCUAUAAUUUAAGAAUGAAUAUCCCAUGUAAUGCAACACUCUCUCAUGAUCUGAACAAAGGUUUAGAUAAGUGGGUUUUCAGAGACUUGUUGAAUGCCUAAUAAGUUUAAUAUUGAUUGAUCGAGCGACUUUCUACUCACAAUCAUGCAUUC